GACGUAGGAUGCAAGCGUUGUCCGGAUUUAUUGGGCGUAAAGAGUUCGUAGGCGGUUUGUUAAGUCUAGUGUUAAAGAUCGGGGCUCAACCCUGGGACUGCACCGGAUACUGGCAGACUGGAGUGUGGUAGAGGUAAGUGGAAUUCCUGGUGUAGCGGUGAAAUGCGUAGAUAUCAGGAAGAACACCAGUGGCGUAGGCGACUUACUGGGCCAUAACUGACGCUGAGGAACGAAAGCCAGGGGAGCAAAUGGG
rnacentral:rRNA from 1 species